GUACUGCUGAAGAAUCCCGAACUAGGACGAAACAGCUGUCCAGUAC
rfam:Trichobilharzia regenti genome assembly, scaffold: TRE_scaffold0008340